rnacentral:rRNA from 1 species
GGGAUAAACGCUGAAGGCAUCUAAGCGUGAAGCCCCCCUCAAGAUGAGAUAUCCCAUACGCAGGUAGUAAGACCCCUUGAAGACGACAAGGUAGAUAGGUCAGAGGUGGAAGUGUGGUGACACAUGGAGCUGACUGAUACUAAUCGGUCGAGGGCUUGACCAAAA